UAGGGAAUCUUCGGCAAUGGACGGAAGUCUGACCGAGCAACGCCGCGUGAGUGAAGAAGGUUUUCGGAUCGUAAAGCUCUGUUGUUAGAGAAGAACGUUGGCAGGAGUGGAAAAUCUACCAAGUGACGGUAACUAACCAGAAAGGGACGGCUAACUACGUGCCAGCAGCCGCGGUAAUACGUAGGUCCCGAGCGUUGUCCGGAUUUAUUGGGCGUAAAGCGAGCGCAGGCGGUUCUUUAAGUCUGAAGUUAAAGGCAGUGGCUUAACCAUUAUACGCUUUGGAAACUGGAGGACUUGAGUGCAGAAGGGGAGAGUGGAAUUCCAGGUGUAGCGGUGAAAUGCGUAGAUAUAUGGAGGAACACCGGUGGCGAAAGCGGCUCUCUGGACUGUAACUGACGAUGAGGCUCGAAAGCGUGGGGAGCAAACAGG
rnacentral:rRNA from 1 species